UACGUAGGCAGCAAGCGUUGUUCGGAGUUACUGGGCGUAAAGGGUGUGUAGGCGGUUCUCUAAGUUUGGUGUGAAAUCUCCCGGCUCAACCGGGAGGGUGCGCCGAAAACUGGGGAGCUAGAGUGCGGGAUGGGUAAGUGGAAUUCCUGGUGGUAGCGGUGAAAUGCGUAGAUAUCAGGAGGAACACCGGUGGCGAAGGCGGGUCUCUGGGCCGGAUACUGACGCUGGAGGAGCGAAAGCGUGGGGAGCGAACAGGA
rnacentral:rRNA from 1 species